UCAGCUUUGGCUGAACUGCUGAUUUUCUGCUAAUGUUAGCCACCACUGCAAUUUAGCUUGCUUUGUAGCAUUUCUUAAACAAACUAAUGUCCCGUUGCUUCAGGAUGGCGCUGUGGAGGAGUAAACUAUGUCGGUCCCACCUGUUGACCUCAAAACACACCUUUCAUCCCAGGAGACAGAGUUUUGGGUGGACUUGUUGGGGCCUUAUCUGUCUUCCUUAAGGAUCUACUCUUUGCUGAGGUGCUGUCACUUCAAGGACCUUGGCUUCAGAAACAAAAGGAGCCUGUGCUGCCAUUCGCUCAGAUGGAUGAGACGUGAACGAAGCUGAAAAGGAGUGAAGCCUGGAGUCUAAAUCUGAAAUCCGCCCUCUGUGCAGCUCAUUGAUGAGGUGGGUCAACAGCUUUUCAAGGCAGGGCUCCAUUGUUGGCCUUACAAACAGGCAGCAAAAAACCGAU